AUUAGUAAAUAAAAUCUUCCCUCUUCUCUCCCUUUUAUUAGGUAACAAAAUCAGAGAGUUGUGUCACCUCUUUGGUCUUCUCUCCCAAAGCCCACAAUCUGCUCUAAGAGGGCUCCAAGAGCUCCCUUUCUCUGUUAUUUCUUUGGGUCCAAGUAAGCUAUUGCAAGAUUUCUUAUACAGUUCUUUAGCUUUUUCUUUUCCUAUCCAAUGAUUUAAUUUAAGGUAUGAAAGGACCUCAGGGCUUCAUAAUCCUCGAUCGGUUGAAGAAGUCUUUGAGGAUUUCAGAUGAAGGCAUGUUGGGACAAUCAAGGCUCUUACCACUGAUGUUGAGAAAUUCUUUCAAUAAUGUGAUCCUCAUGAGUUCUGUUUCUUAUAUAGGAUUGGUAGUGUUUUGGUUUUA